rnacentral:tRNA from 1 species
UGACGAUUAGGUCAGUCGGAAGAGUACUCGCCCUGACAGCGAGGUGCCACGGGUUGGAGUCCCGGACUGGCAG